rfam:TPA: Bos taurus chromosome 11, whole genome shotgun sequence.
UCCCUAGUGGCUCAGGUAAAGAAUCUGCCUGCAAUGCAGGAGACCUGGGUUCGAUCCCUAGGUUGGGAA